AUUGAGAGAACUGAUAAAAAAAUUAAACUACUAUCACAUAAAAAAAGACUCACAUAAUAUUUACAUACACACAUGCAUAUUUGUGUGUCUCACAUAUCAGGGGGGAACCCAUAGUAUGCAUGUAUGUGUAUGCGAGUAUUAUGUGAUUUUUUUUUAUGUGAUAGUAGUAUUGUUGAUGAAUAAAAAUGAGAAGUGCAAUCAAUCUACAUAUUUAUACUAUUACAAGAUGUGUAAAGAUUAAGCUAGCUAUACUAACUGAUCUCCUACACUGCAGGAGAGUGUGACAACUGUUUUAUACAUGUGAUCUUAACUUACAACUAGCUUCCAGUUUUACCAACUAUAUUACAGCAGUAGUAUCCAGACUCUCUAGCUACUUCCUUCUUUAGGCUGAGAGUUCAUUCUGAUAAUGUUGCUGGCCUUGACUUAGCCUUGUGUCCGUAAUGGGCUUAACGGAACAAUCAUAUGGAUUUGAUGCGAACCAAACACCGUCUUAACCUUGGCGUAAUGAAACUACAAAUGAAAAAAUUAAUUCCACUCAUGGAAUUGAGAAAUGAAACCCUAAAAAGAGUAGUAUAUAUAUAAGAUAGGUGUAAGUAACUAAAAAUUAAAUUAAUAAGUUUGUAAUUAUCAAUCAUCAAGAAGUCCCCUAAACACAACUCCUUGGAGCCACAAACAGUGCAGCGCAUUUGAGAUCGAAGGAUUUGACAAGUUGAACGCCUUGUCGAUACCAAAGCAAGUGUCUCCACGUCUCACUCCAGACCCUGAAUCACUAUUUAAAGCUGAGUUUACCUUUAAAGCCCAUGCUGCAUGCAGCUAGCUCUCAUAUAUAUCAAAUUAAUUAAAUCACACGUACAAUAAUAAUAAUCUCCUUAAUUCCCAACAAUCAAAAUAGAAGAAAGAAAUAGGAGUGUUAUCUAAAUACUUACAUUGAAAAAUGGGGGGUAAGCUUUCAACUUUGGUUGUGAGUAGUAGAAAUAGGAUGAAAAGCAUGGCAGAUUUGUUGUUGUUUACCUUGUCCAUGUUAUAUUAUUGUUUUAUGUGUGAU
rnacentral:lncRNA from 1 species